rnacentral:rRNA from 1 species
CCUACGGGAGGCAGCAGUGGGGAAUUUUGGACAAUGGGCGCAAGCCUGAUCCAGCAAUGCCGCGUGAGUGAAGAAGGCCUUCGGGUUGUAAAGCUCUUUUGUCAGGGAAGAAACGGCUGAGGUUAAUACCUUUGGCUAAUGACGGUACCUGAAGAAUAAGCACCGGCUAACUACGUGCCAGCAGCCGCGGUAAUACGUAGGGUGCAAGCGUUAAUCGGAAUUACUGGGCGUAAAGCGUGCGCAGGCGGUUUUGUAAGUCUGACGUGAAAUCCCCGGGCUCAACCUGGGAAUUGCGUUGGAGACUGCAAGGCUGGAGUCUGGCAGAGGGGGGUAGAAUUCUACGUGUAGCAGUGAAAUGCGUAGAGAUGUGGAGGAACACCGAUGGCGAAGGCAGCCCCCUGGGUCAAGACUGACGCUCAUGCACGAAAGCGUGGGGAGCAAACAGGAUUAGAUACCCUGGUAGUCCACGCCCUAAACGAUGUCUACUAGUUGUCGGGUCUUAAUUGACUUGGUAACGCAGCUAACGCGUGAAGUAGACCGCCUGGGGAGUACGGUCGCAAGNUUAAAACUCAAAGGAAUUGACGGCUGAGACGUAGCGACGGACGACGACGAGGGAGGAGG